UUUAAGUGUAAUUACACAAACUGUUACAUAGAACACUAGUGUCCCCUUGUGGUGAUGGUGAGUAAGAGAGAAGUGGCAAAUUGAUGCACUAUGAUCUUAUUAGUCACAUGAAAGACCAAACCAAGCCCACCUUCCGGAUUGGAGGGGGUUAUAAAAGUUUUAGGAGCCAGCAAGAAAAAAUAUCCAUCAGAUCAAUCCAGGAGAGCCACAACAAGACCACAAAGACACACAAGAGAGAGGAGAGAUCAGAAGAAAAAUAAGAUCUCAUCUUACAUCACAUUUGAACCUUGACGCUGAUUUCUUCCAGACAGAUUCUCUGAUAGCUACAUAGUAAACGCGGACCGACCGGAGACAUUUGACGUCAUACCCACAUGGGACGCCGAAAGAACACACUCGAAUGUUCAACAUAGAGUCCCGAAAGACGCACUAGCAGCCGCAACAGACGAAAGCAUCGGAGAAGAUGGUAUGCCACGGAGUAUGGAGAGAGGAAGUUCGAGGCUACAUCAAGGAAUGGCGUGCAGUCAUUAUUUACUAUCUGCAGAGGAUGUUUGUCUUUUUGCGUUUAUUAUUUUCUUUGGUCAUAUUCUGUUAUUCACAUGGAAGGUGGUUCAGAGAAGAACCCUCUGUAAGGGUGGUGAUAAAUGGGCUUGGAUCAUGGAUGCAGUGUGGCCCUGCACUAACGUGUGGAUCCGCAACUGAUCGGUGGUCACGGUUGGAGGCUCCACCUCUAUUAUGUUGUGGCAGCCUUCAUCCGAUCCCACGUAGCCACCUAUUUUAAUUUACUGCACGGAUAUGUGUAAUACUACCUUGAUCUUGUGUGUAUCAGAUUGGACCGACACUAAUGCGCAUGUGCCCGAUAUUUCAUGUGUUAUUCCCGUAUCCAAGAUGGUUGACUCAACAUCAGGGCCAUAGUGCGCAACUGUAUAGUAAUGAGGGCGGCCGAAUCUGGAAAUGAGAAACACACGUCACUCUGACAUGCGCAGUCGCGCUCCAGGCACGCCGGACUGCGCGCGAUAUCAUGGAUGGUAGCCAUUCGCCUCUUUACUCCUCCUUCACCCUCCGUCUGCAAUGCCCUCUAGUAAGCACUUGGCACUUUAUAUUAUUGAUUGCACAUGACAUUGAUGAAGAUAUUAAUAUCAAUUAUGUAUACACAUGGCUUUUUAUGGAUUGUAUUUUUUUGACUGCAC